UACGAUGCAGGUGACCAGCCAAACAUCAAAGCGCAAUUUGCAGCGAUAGCCGGUUUUCCUAAUGUAAUCGGAGCGAUCGACUGCACACAUAUUGCUAUAAAGGCGCCAUCUGAAGACGAAUUUGCAUAUGUGAAUCGGAAACAUUUCCAUUCAAUAAAUGUGCAGAUUAUAUGUGAUGCACAAAUGCGCCUAACAAAUAUUGUGGCAAGGUGGCCUGGGUCAACCCAUGAUUCAUAUAUCCUUACAAACAGCAUGGUUGGGAUGAGACUCCAAGCUGGCAGGGUGCGCGAUGGGUGGCUACUUGGAGACAGUGGUUAUCCACUAAAGACGUGGCUGUUAACCCCCCUCACCAACCCACAAACUGACCGAGAGCGCAGA